rnacentral:rRNA from 1 species
GCUAGGAGGGGGAUAUCUCGGGAAACUGAGGGUAUACCCCAUAGGUCUAUUUUGCUGGAAUGCUAAUAGGCCGAAAACUCCGGUGCCUUAGGAUUGGUCUGCGGUCUAUCAGGCUGUAGUGGGUGUAAUGGACCCACUAGCCCGUGACGGAUAUGGGCCUUGAGAGAGGGAGCCCAGAGAUGGACUCUGAGACAUGAGUCCAGGCCCUACGGGGCGCAGCAGUCGCGAAAACUUCGCAAUGGGGGCAACCCCGACGAGGGAAUUCCAAGUGCUAGCACUUUGUGUUAGCUGUUCUUCUGUCUAAAAAACAGGAGGAGUAAGGGGCGGGUAAGACGGGUGCCAGCCGCCGCGGUAAUACCCGCGCCCCAAGUGGUGGUCGGUAUUAUUGAGCCUAAAACGUCCGUAGCCGGUCUUCUAAAUCCUUGGGUAAAUCGGGCAGCUUAACUGUCCGAAGUCCGGGGAGACUGGGAGACUUGGGACCGGGAGAGGUCAGAGGUACUUCUGGGGUAGGGGUAAAAUCCUGUAAUCCUGGAAGGACCACCGGUGGCGAAGGCGUCUGACUAGAACGGAUCCGACGGUGAGGGACGAAGCCCUGGGGCGCAAACGGGAUUAGAUACCCCGGUAGUCCAGGGUGUAAACGCUGCGGGCUUGGUGUUGGGGGUCCUUAGUGGGCGCCCA